UUACUCACUUUGGCAGUACAUAUAUUAAAAUUGGGAUAAUUCAGAGAAGAUUAGCAUGGCCCCUGCACGAGGAUGACAUGCAAAUUCAUAAAGUAUUUCAUAUUUUU
ensembl:snRNA U6 U6 spliceosomal RNA